rnacentral:rRNA from 1 species
CAGCCGCCACGGUAAUACAGAGGGUGCGAGCGUUAAUCGGAUUUACUGGGCGUAAAGCGUGCGUAGGCGGCUAAUUGAGUCGGAUGUGAAAUCCCCGAGCUUAACUUGGGAAUUGCAUUCGAUACUGGUUAGCUAGAGUGUGGGAGAGGAUGGUAGAAUUCCAGGUGUAGCGGUGAAAUGCGUAGAGAUCUGGAGGAAUACCGAUGGCGAAGGCAGCCAUCUGGCCUAACACUGACGCUGAGGUACGAAAGCAUGGGGAGCAAACAGGAUUAGAUACCCGGGUAGUCCCUGUCUCUUAUAA